UGGGGAAUAUUGCACAAUGGGCGCAAGCCUGAUGCAGCCAUGCCGCGUGUGUGAAGAAGGCCUUCGGGGUGUAAAGCACUUUCAGCGGGGAGGAAGGCGGUGAGGUUAAUAACCUCAUCGAUUGACGUUACCCGCAGAAGAAGCACCGGCUAACUCCGUGCCAGCAGCCGCGGUAAUACGGAGGGUGCAAGCGUUAAUCGGAAUUACUGGGCGUAAAGCGCACGCAGGCGGUCUGUCAAGUCGGAUGUGAAAUCCCCGGGCUCAACCUGGGAACUGCAUUCGAAACUGGCAGGCUAGAGUCUUGUAGAGGGGGGUAGAAUUCCAGGUGUAGCGGUGAAAUGCGUAGAGAUCUGGAGGAAUACCGGUGGCGAAGGCGGCCCCCUGGACGAAGACUGACGCUCAGGUGCGAAAGCGUGGGGAGCAAACAGG
rnacentral:rRNA from 1 species